rnacentral:rRNA from 1 species
GCAGGCUGCAACUACGCCUGCAUGAAGUCGGAAUUGCUAGUAAUCGUAGGUCAGCAUACUACGGUGAAUACGUUCCCGGGCCUUGUACACACCGCCCGUCAAACCAUGAGAGUUGGCAACACCCGAAGUCGGUAGUCUAACCGCAAGGAGGACGCCGCCGAAGGUGGGGUUGAUGAUUAGGGUUAAGUCGUAACAAGGUAUC